rnacentral:tRNA from 1 species
GUCAGGUUGGCCGAGGGGUCUAAGGCGUCAAACUUAAGAUUUGAUACUGUAAAGUUCAUGGGUUCGAAUCCCAUAUCUGACA